rnacentral:rRNA from 1 species
GACGAAGGGGGCUAGCGUUGUUCGGAAUUACUGGGCGUAAAGCGCGUGUAGGCGGUUGCCCAAGUCGGGUGUGAAAGCCUUGAGCUCAACUCAAGAAAUGCACUCGGUACUGGGUGACUAGAGGACCGGAGAGGAUAGUGGAAUUCCCAGUGUAGUGGUGAAAUUCGUAGAUAUCGGGAGGAACACCAAUGGCGAAGGCAGCUCGCUGGGACGUUACUGACGCUGAGACGCGAAAGCGUGGGGAGCAAACAGG